UUGUGCGUGUUCCAAUAGUUCU
rnacentral:miRNA from 1 species